GUGAGAUCUGGGACCCGGCGGGGACGGGGAGGCGGGGCCCAGGUGGGAGGGGCGAGAUCUGGGACCGGGAGGGAGCGGGACUGAGGAGCGGGUUGGCGGGGCCGGGACUGGGACCCGGGCAGGGGCAGGCUGGGAUCUGGGCCCGGGUCGCAGCCAGGGCGGGGGCGUUGGUGGGAGCGGCAGUGGCUGGGACCUGGGCGGGGGCGGGGCGCCGAGGGCGGGGCUGGGGCUGGGCCCCGGGCGGAGCCGAGGGCGGGGGGAGGUGGGCGGAGCGGGGCUGGGAAGCGGCGCGGCCGAGGGGCUGCAGGAAAGUUGCGGGGAUCGGAGCGGCAGCAGCCGCGGAGCCGCGGGAGUGGGGACCGCCCCGCGGGGGCAGAGCGGGCGGCGCGCACCGGGGCGGCAGGGAGCGCCCCAGACCCGUCUCCCGGGGAUGUGUGGGGCCCCGAGCCUGGUGCGGGCGCGCGGCCGGGCACAGGUGACAGAAGAAGCCCACCUUGGCUCAGUGAGGCUGACAGCCUAACUCCUCUGUGAGCUGCUUUCCACAUGGAUAUGAGUGAGGGGCAAUGUGGCCUGCUGCUUGGGGCCAUCUGGGUUGGAACCCCAGCACGUACUCCCCAGCCCUCCAACUUUGGAUGAGUCACAAACCUCUCAACCUUGGUCUCCUGCUGUGUCCAAGACCCAGCCCUCCUCUGUGUAAGGCUCACUCCUAGGCCACGUGGAUACAGCAGAACCAGGGCCAACCAAGUUCCACUCUCAAGGCGUUUACACUGUGGUGGGAAAGUCAGGAUAUGAAGAACAGGAGUCCUGGUAAGGCGGAACAGAAUUAUCAGCGGGGCUUGGGUCAUGAGGAGAGCUCAUCAGAAAAUGUGCUUUAGAAAGAUUUGCUGUGGGAUCC
rnacentral:lncRNA from 1 species